CUAACAAGAUAAGCUGAGCGUUCAGAAGAGAACCAGAUGGGAGGUGCGGGCGGGGAACAGCAGCUACAGAACGCAGACCCUGGAUCCCUGCACGUGCUGGACCAUCCACCAGGAUUCUGCCCUUCUCCAACCACGCCAGAGAGCCAUGUCUCUGCUGCUAUCAGAGUUUCGAGACUUUGUGUCACUGUUCUUCUCCAUGACGCUGCAGGGUGUGAGUUGCUGGGUGCCUGUCUGUGCACCAUUUGUGUGCAGUACCCAUGGAGGCCAGAAGAUAGCGUCAGAUCCUUCUGG